rnacentral:rRNA from 1 species
UGGGGAAUUUUGGACAAUGGGCGCAAGCCUGAUCCAGCCAUGCCGCGUGCGGGAAGAAGGCCUUCGGGUUGUAAACCGCUUUUGUCAGGGAAGAAACGCUCUGGGCUAAUACCCUGGGGUAAUGACGGUACCUGAAGAAUAAGCACCGGCUAACUACGUGCCAGCAGCCGCGGUAAUACGUAGGGUGCAAGCGUUAAUCGGAAUUACUGGGCGUAAAGCGUGCGCAGGCGGUUAUGCAAGACAGAUGUGAAAUCCCCGGGCUCAACCUGGGAACUGCAUUUGUGACUGUAUAGCUAGAGUACGGUAGAGGGGGAUGGAAUUCCGCGUGUAGCAGUGAAAUGCGUAGAUAUGCGGAGGAACACCGAUGGCGAAGGCAAUCCCCUGGACCUGUACUGACGCUCAUGCACGAAAGCGUGGGGAGCAAACAGGAUUAGAUACCCAGGUAGUCCCUGAG